rnacentral:rRNA from 1 species
CUAUACAUGCAAGUCGAACGCAAUCUUUGACUAAUGAGUGCUUGCACUCAGCGGUCAAAGUGCGAGUGGCGAACGGGUGAGUAACACGUGGGCAAUCUGCCCAAAAGUGGGGGAUAACACUUGGGAACAGGUGCUAAUACCGCAUCAACCGGCUGACCGCAUGGUCGGCCGGGCAAAGACGGCGUCAGCUGUCGCUUUUGGAUGAGCCCGCGGCGUAUUAACUAGUUGGUAAGGUAACGGCUUACCAAGGUGAUGAUACGUAGCCGAACUGAGAGGUUGAUCGGCCACAUUGGGACUGAGACACGGCCCAAACUCCUACGGGAGGCAGCAGUAGGGAAUCUUCCACAAUGGACGCAAGUCUGAUGGAGCAACGCCGCGUGUAUGAAGAAGGUCUUCGGACCGUAAAAUACUGUUGUCAGAGAAGAACACGUGAUAGAGUAACUGCUAUGGCGCUGACGGUAUCUGACCAGCAAGUCACGGCUAACUACGUGCCAGCAGCCGCGGUAAUACGUAGGUGGCAAGCGUUGUCCGGAUUUAUUGGGCGUAAAGGGAACGCAGGCGGUCUUUUAAGUCUGAUGUGAAAGCCUUCGGCUUAACCGGAGAAGUGCAUUGGAAACUGGAAGACUUGAGUGCAGAAGAGGAGAGUGGAACUCCAUGUGUAGCGGUGAAAUGCGUAGAUAUAUGGAAGAACACCAGUGGCGAAAGCGGCUCUCUGGUCUGUAACUGACGCUGAGGUUC